GUUUAUUCAUCUAACAGAAUUAAACCUUUCUGUCAAUAUAGCAUGUUUGAAUCACAUUUAAGGUAGUUUCUGUGAAGGGACUUUUCAAAGCCCUUACAGGCCUAUGGUGAAAAACAGAAUAUCUGCAAACAAAAAGUAGAGAAAAGCUAAAUAUGUAACUGCUUUUGAUGUAUGGAUUCAUCUCACAGAGUUAAACCUUUCUUUUAUUGUAACAGGUUGGAAACACUCUUUUGUUGGAAUCUGUGAAGGGAAGUUUGGGAACCCAUCAAGGCCUAAGGUUGGAAACCCUCUUUUUGGAGAUUCUGCAAAGGGACAUGUGUGAGCCCUUAGAAGCCUAUUGUGAGAAACAGAAUAUCCACAGAUAAAAACUAGAAAUAAGGUAUCAGUGAAACUGCUUUGUGAUAUGUGGAUUCAUCUCACAGAGGUAAGCCUUUCUUUUGAUACAGCAGGUUUGAAAGACUUUUUUGGAAGAAUCUGCAAAGGGACAUAUGGAAGCCCAUAGAGGUUUCUGUUCAAAAACUGAAUAUCUUCACAUAAAUACUAGGAAGAAGCUAUAAGAAGCUAUUGGUGAAACCUCUUUGUGAUGUGAAGAUUCAUCUCACAGAGUUAAACAUUUCUUUUGAUUCAGCAGCUUGGAAACACUCGUUCUGUAGAGCCUGCAGAGAGACAUUUGGGGGCUCAUAGAGACCUAAAGUGAAAAGCCCAAUAUCCCCAGAUAAAGACUCGAAGGAAUCUAUCCGUGAAACUGCUUUGUGAUGUGUGGAUUCAUCUCCCUGAGUUAAACCUAUCUUUUGAUUAAGCAUGUUGGAAUCACUCUUUUGGUAGAAUCUGCAAAGUAACAUUUGGGCACCCUUUAAAGCCUACAGUGAAAAACCGAAUAUCUCCAAAUAAAAACAAGAAAGAAGCUAUCUGUGAAAGGGCUUUGUGAUGUGUUGAUUCAUCUCACAGAUUUCGACCUUACUUUUCAUUCAGCAUUUUUAGAACACUCUUUAUGUAGAAUCAACGAUGGGACAUUUGGCAGCGGUUUUUUGGCCUCUGGUGAAUAACUGAAUAUUCCAAGAUAAAAAUUAGAAAGACUCUGUCUGUAAAACGGCUUUUUGAUGUGUGGAUUCAUCUCACAGAGUUAAACAUUAUUUUUGAUUCAGUAGCUUGUAAACACUCAUUAGGUAGAAUCAGUGGAAAGACAUUUGGGAGCCCAUAGAGGCCUAAGGUGAAAAACUGAAUAUCCCCAGAUAAAAACUAGAAAGAAGCUAUCUCUGUAACUGUUUUGUUAUGUGUGGAUUCAUGUCACAGAGCUAAACCUUUCUUUUGAUUCAGAAGGUUGCAAAUACUUAUGUUUCAUAAUCUGCAUAGUGACAUUUGGGAGCCCAUUAAAGCCUACAGUGAAAAAUCGAAUAUCCCCAGAUAAAAACCAGAAAGAAGCUAUCUUUGAAACUGCUUUGUGAUGUGUGGUUUCAUCUCAUAGUCUUAAACCUUACUUUUGACUCAGUAUUUUGGAAACACUCUUUUGCUAGAAUCCAGGAAUGGAGAUUUGUGAGCCUACUCUAGUUUAUGGUAAAAAUAAAAACAAACAAAUAUUUCAAGAUAAAAACUAGAAAGCAGCUAUCAGUGAAUCUGUUUUGUGAUGCGUAGAUUCAUCUCACAGAGUUAAACCUUCCUUUUGAUUUAGCAGUUUGGAAACACCUUUUUGUAGAAUCUGUGAAGGGACAUUUGAGAGAACUUUGACACCUAUAAGGAAAAACAAAAAUCCUCAGAUAAAAACUAGAAGGAAGCUCUUUGUGAAACUGUUUUGGAUGUGUUUAUUCACCUAACAGAGUUAAACCUUUCUGUCAAUAUAGCAGGUUUGAAACAUUUUUUAGAUAGAAUCUGAAGAGCCCAUAGAGGCCUAUGGUGAAAAACAGAAUAUCCCCAGAUAGAAAGUAGAAAAAAGCUAAAUAUGUAACUGCUUUGUGAUGUGUGUAUUCAUCUCACAGAGUUAAAUCUUUCUUUUGACACAGCAUAUAUGAAACACUCUUUAGAUAGUAUCUGCAAAGGGACAUUUAAGAGCCCUUAGAGGCCUAUGGUGAAAAACUCAAAAACUCUAGAUAAAAACUAGAAAGAAGCUAUCUGUUUAACUUAUUUGUAAUGUCUGGAUUUAUCUCACAGAGAUAAGCAUUUAUAUUGAUUCAGCAAGUUGGAAUCUCUCUUUUGGUAGAAUCUGCCAAGGGACAUUUGGAAUCCCUUAAAAGUCUAUUGUGAAAAACUGAAUAUACCUUGAUAAAAACUAGAAAGAAGCUAUCUGCAAAACUGCAUGAUAAAGUGUGGAUUCAUGUCAGAGAGUUCAACAUUUAUUUUGAUUCAUCACGUUGGAAACACUCGUUUUGUACACUCUGUUAAGAGACAUUUUGGAGCCCAUUUUGUCCUAUGGUAAACAACACAAUAUUUCCAAAUAAACACCAGAAGAAAGCUAUCUGUGAAAGUGGUUUGUGAUGUGUGAUUCAUCUCACAGAUUUAAACUUUUUUUUAUUCAAUAGGUUGGAGACACUCAUUUUGUAGAAUUGGCAAUGGGAUAUUGUGGAGCCCAGUGAGGCCUAUGGUGAACAAUCCAAUAUUUCCAGAUGAACACCAGAAAGAAGCUACCCGUGAAACUGCUUUGUGAUGUGUGAUUCAUCUCACAGAUUUAAACUUUUUUUUUGAUUCAGUAGGAUGGAGACACUCAUUUUUUUGAAUCAACUAUGGGAUAUUUUGGAGCCCAUUGGGGCCUAUGGUGAACAAUCCAAUAUUUCCAGAUGAAAACAAGAAGGAAGCUAUCCAUGAAACUGCUUUGUGAUGUGCAAUUCAUCUCACAGAUUUAAACUAUUUCUUUAUUCAGUAGGAAGGAGAUAUUCUUUUUUUUGAAUUGACUAUGGGAUAUUUUGGAGCCCAUUGAGGACUAUGGUUGAAAAGAAAAUAUCCCAAGCUAAAAACUAAAAAGGAGCUAUCUGUGAACCUGCUUUGAUGUUUGGAUUUAUCUCACAGAGUUAAACCUUUCUUUUGAUUCAGCAGGUUUUAAACACUCUUUUGGUAGCAUCUGCAUAGAGACGUAUCACAGCCCAUCGAGGCCUAUGGUGAACAAAUGGAUAUCACCAGAUAAAAACUAGAAGGAAGCUAUUUCUGAGACCGCAUUGUGAUCUGUGCAUUUAUCUCACAGAGUUAAAUCUUUCUAUUGAUUCAGCAGGAUGCAAACACUCUUUUUGUAGAAUCUGCAAAGGGACAGUUGGGAGCCCAUUUAAGCCUAUGGUGAAAAAUUGAAUAUCCCCAGAUAAAAACUAGAAAUAACCAAUCAGCGAAACUGCUUUUUUGUUGUGUGGAUGUAUCUCACAGACUUAAAAAUUUCCUUUGAUUUUGCAGGUUUGAAACAUACCUUUUGCAGAAUCUGUGGAGGGACAUUUUGGAACCCCUUAAGGCCUGUCGUGAAAAAGAAAAUAUUCCGAGAUGAAAACUAGAAAGAAGCUAUCUGUGAAGUGCUCUGUGACGUAUGGAGUCAUUGCACAGAGCUAUACCCUUCUAUUGAUACAGCAAGAUGGAAACAAUCUUUACAUAGAAUCUGCGAAGGAACAUUUAUAAGCCCUUAGAGGACUAUGGUGAAAAACAGAAUAUCCCCACAUAAAAACUAUCAAGAAGCUAUCUGUGAAACUGCAUUGUUAAGUGUGGAAUCAGCUCAAAGGCUUAAAACUUUCUUUUGAAUCAGCAAGUUGCAGACACUCUUUUGCUGGAAUCUGCGAAGGGACAUUUGUAAGCCCAUUGUAGCACACUGUGAGAAAUGGAAUAUUCAAAGAUAAAAACUAGAAAGAAGCUUUUAGUGAAACUACUUCAUGAUGUGUGGAUUCUACUCACAGAGUUAAACUUUUUAUUGUUUCAGCAGGUUGGAAACACUCUUUUGGUAAAAUUGGGAAAGGCACAUGUUGGAGCCCAUUGAGACCUAUUGUGAAAAACUGAAUAUUCCCAGAUACAAACUACAAAGAAGCUAUCUGUGAAACUGCUCUAUGAUGUGUGGAUUCAUCUCACAGAGUUAAACCUUUCUUUUGAUUCAGCAGGUUGGAAACACUUUUUUGGCAGAAUCUGCAAAGGGAGAUUUGGAUCUUUUUGCAGCCUAUGGUGAAAAACAGAAUACCCAGAGUUUAAAAACUGCAAAGUAGCUCUCUGUGAAACUGCUUUGUGAUGUGUGGAUUCAUCACACAGAGAUAAGCCUUUCCUUUGAUUUGGCAGGUUGGAAACCCUUGUUUUCUAACCUGAUAAUGAAUAUUUUGAAGCUUGUUGAGGCCUAUGGUGAAAAAAAAAAUCCCUAGUUAAAAACUAGAAGGAAGCUACCAGUGAAACUGCUUUGUGAUGUGUGGAUUCACCACUGAGAGUUAAAUCUUUCUUUUCAUCCAGAAAAUUGGAAAUAUUCUUUAGAUAGAAUAUGCACAGGGACAUUUGGGAGACCAUAGAGGCUAAUGGUGAAAAACAGAAUAUCCUCAGAUAAAAACUAGAAAGAAGGUGUCUGUGAAACUGUUUUGUGAUGUGUGGAUUCACCUCACAGAAUUAAACGUUGUUUUGAUUCAACAGGUGUGAGACCCUCUUUUCAUAGGAUCUGUGAAGGGACAUUUGGAAGCCCAUUGAGGUUUAUGGUGAAAAACCGAAUAUUUCUAGAUAAAUACUAGAAAUAACCUAGCUGUGAAACUGCCUUGUGAUGCGUGCAUUCAUUUCACAGAUUUAAACAAUCCUUUUGAUUCUGUAAAUUGGAAACACUCUUAUGGUAGAAUCUUUCAAGGGACAUUUCGGAGCCCUUAGAUGCCUAUGUAAAAAACCAAGUAUACCCAGAUAAAAACUAGAAAGAAGCUAUCUGUGAAACAGCUUUGUAAUGUUUGGAUUCAAAUCACAAGCUUAAACCUUUCUUUUGAUUCAGCGGGUUACAAACACCAUUUAAUAGAAUCUGCGAGGGUAGAUUUGGGAACCAUUUCAGGAAUGUAGUGAAAAACUGAAUACACCCAGAUACAAACCAGAAAGAAACUAUUUGUGAAACUGCUUUUUUUUUUUGUGGAUUCUCCUCACAGAGAUAAACAUUUCCUUUGAUUCAGCAGGUUGGAAACACUCAUUUUGUAGAAUCUGAAUGGGGCAUUUUGAAGCCCUUUGAGGACUAUGGUAAAAAAAAAAUAAAAACACAAUAUCCUCAGAUAAAAACUAUGAAGAAGCUAUCUGUGAGCUUUUUUGUGAUGUGUGGAUUCAUCUCACAGAGGUAAAAGUUUCUUUUGAUACAGCAUGUUGGAAACACUGUUUUCAUAGAAUCUUCAAAGUGAAAUUUAGGAGCUUUUUGUGGAGUAUGGAGAAAAACUGAAUGUUCACACAUGAAAACUGGAAAGAAGCUAUCUGUGAAACAGCUUUGUGAUCUGUGGAAUCAUCUCACAGAGCUAAACCUGUCUAUUGAAUCAGCAAGUUGCAUACACUCUUUUUGUAGAAUCUGCGAAUAAACUUUUGGGAGACCAUUGAGCCUAUGGUGAAAAACUGAAUAUCCCCAGAAAGCACUAGAAAAAAGUGAUCUGUGAAACUGCUUUGAGUUGUGUGGAUUCCUUUCACAGUGUCAUACCUUUCUUUUGAUUUAACAAGUUGGAAAUACUAUGUUGUUAGAAUCUGUGAAGGGACAUUUGGGAGCCCAUGGGGUCCUAUGGUGAAAAACCAAAUAUCCCCAGAUAAAAACCAGAAAGAAGCUAUCUUUGAAACUGCUUUGUGAUGUGUGGAUCAUCUGAAAGACUUAAACCUUUCUUUUGACUCAGCAUGUUGGAAAUACUCUUUGGCUACAAUCUGCAAAAGGAGAUUUGUGAGCCCACUGUACUCUAUGGCAAAAUAUGUGUGUGUGUGUGUGUGUGUGUGUGUGUGUGUGUGUGUGUAUCAGUGAGUCUGCUUUGUGAUGCAUGGAUUCCUCUCCCAAAUUUAAACAUUUGUUUAGAUUCAGAAAGUUGGAAACACCUUUUUGUAGAACCUGCAAACGGAAAUUUGUGAGACCAUUGAGGCCUAUAAUGCAAAACAGAAAAUCUCCAGAUAAAAACUAGAAGAGAGCUCUUUGUGAAACCUUUUGGGGUGUGUUUAUUCAUUUGACAGAAUUAAACCUUUCUGUCAAUAUAGCAUGUUUGAAACAUUUUUUGGAUAGAAUCUGUGAAGGUUACAUUUAAGAGCCCAUAGAGACCUAUGGUGGAAAACAGAAUAUCCCUGGAAAAAAAGUAGAAAAAAGCUAAAUAUAUAACUGCUUUGAGAUGUAUGCAUUCAUCAAACAGAGUUAAACCUUUCUUUUGACACAGUAGGUGUGAAACACUUUAUAGUUAGAUCUGUGAAGGGACAUUUAAGAGCCCACAGAUGCCUAUGGUGAAAAACUAAAUAACUCCAGAUGAAAACUAGAAAGAAACUAUCUGUUUAACUUAUUUGUAUUGUUUGGAUUUACCUCACCAAGAUAAAUAUUUCUAUUGAUUCAGCAAGUUGGAAUCACUCUUUUAGUAGAAUCUGCCAAGGGACAUUUGGGAUCCCUUAGAGGCCUAAUGUGAAAAACUUAAUAUAACUUGAUAAAAACUAGAAAGAAUCAAUCUGUAAAACUUUAUUGUAAAGUGUCAUUUCAUGUCACAUAGUUAAACAGUUAUUUUGAUUCUUCAGGUUGGAAACACUCGUUUUGUACAUUCUGUGAAGAGACAUUUUGGAGCCCAUUGAGUCCUAAGGUGAAAAACCCAAUAUUUCCAGAUAAAAACCAGAAGGAAGCUACUAUGAAACUGCUUUGUGUUCUGUGCAUUCUUCUCACAGAGUUAAAUUUUUCUUUUGAUUCAGCAGUAUGGACACACUCUUUUUGUAGAAUCUACAAACUGAUACAGGGGAGCACAUUGAGGCCUGUAGUGAAAAAGGACAUAUCUUCAGAGAAAAACUAGAAAGAAUCUUUCUGAGAAACUGUUUUGUGAUGUGUGCAUUCAUCUCACAGAGUUAAGCCUUUCCUUUGAUUGAGCAGUUUGAAAGCAUUAUUUCAGUAGAAUCUGUGAAGGGAUAUUUGGGAGCACGUUGGGGGCUAUGGUGAAAAAGGAAAUAUACUCAGAGCAAAACGAGAAAUAAGUUUUCUGAGAAACUACUUUGUCAUGAGUACUUUCAUCUCACAGAGUUAACACUUUCUUUUGAUUGAUAAGUUUGGUAACAGUGUGUUUUGUAGAAUCUGAGAAGGGAUAUUUGGGAGGGCUUUGAGGCCUAUGGUAAAAAUGAAAUAUCUUCAGAUAAAAACUAUGAAGAAGCUUUCUGGGUAACUGCUUUGUGAUUUGUGCAUUCAUCUCACAGAGUUAAACAUAUCUUCUGAUUGAGCAGUUUUGAAACACUGUUUUUGUAGAAUCUGUGAAAGGAUAUUUAGGAGCCCUUUGAUGGUGAAAAAGGAAAUAUCUUCAGAAAAAAACAAAAAGAAGCUUUCUGAGAAACUGCUUUGUGAUGAGUGCAUUUAUCUCACAGAAUUUAACCUUUCUCUUGGUUGAGCAGUUUGGAAACACUGUUUUUAUAGAAUCUGCAAAGAGAUAUUUGGGAGCUCACUGAAACCUAUGGUGAAAAAGG
rnacentral:lncRNA from 10 species